rnacentral:rRNA from 1 species
AUUGAACGCUGGCGGCAGGCCUAACACAUGCAAGUCGAACGAGUGGCGGACGGGUGAGUAAUGUCUGGGAAACUGCCUGAUGGAGGGGGAUAACUACUGGAAACGGUAGCUAAUACCGCAUACCAUCAGAUGUGCCCAGAUGGGAUUAGCUAGUGGGUGGGGUAACGGCUCACCAAGGCGACGAUCCCUAGCUGGUCUGAGAGGAUGACCAGCCACACUGGAACUGAGACAUGGUCCAGACUCCUACGGGAGGCAGCAGUGGGGAAUAUUGGACAAUGGGCGCAAGCCUGAUGCAGCCAUGCCGCGUGUAUGAAGAAGGCCUUCGGGUUGUAAAGUACUUUCAGCGGGGAGGCGUUACCCGCAGAAGAAGCACCGGCUAACUCCGUGCCAGCAGCCGCGGUAAUUC